rnacentral:rRNA from 1 species
UACAGAGGGUGCAAGCGUUGUUCGGAAUUAUUGGGCGUAAAGCGCGUGUAGGCGGCUUUGCAAGUCGGGUGUGAAAGCCCUCAGCUCAACUGAGGAAGUGCGCCCGAAACUGCAGAGCUUGAGUGCCGGAGAGGGUGGCGGAAUUCCCCAAGUAGAGGUGAAAUUCGUAGAUAUGGGGAGGAACACCGGUGGCGAAGGCGACCAUCUGGACGGAUACUGACGCUGAGACGCGAAAGCAUGGGGAGCGAACAGG